GAAAUGCGAUACGUCGUGUGAAAUGUAAGGUUCUGUGAAUCAUUGAAAUUUUGAACGCAAAUUGUACUAAUCAGCUUAAAAAACUGAUUGGUGUGUUUGAUCGAGCGUCGUUUAUAAAUAAUCUCAAACAUGUAUUUUUAAAAAAUACAUAACUGAGGAAAUAUUGGUUAAUUAUUAACAAAUAAUUAUCCUUUUAAAUUGCUAGAGUUUAAACUAAAACUAAAAAAAGAUAAGAGAUGCUUUAAUAAUUAAAACUUCUCAAGGCUUAUUUUUAGAUGUUUAAACUUCUAAAAAAGGGUUUUUAACUCUUUUAAAAUCACGACCUCGAUUCAAGCAAGAUUACCCGCUGAAUUUAA
rnacentral:misc_RNA from 1 species